CGAAGGGUGCAAGCGUUAAUCGGAAUUACUGGGCGUAAAGCGUGCGUAGGCGGUUGGUUAAGUCUGUCGUGAAAGCCCUGGGCUCAACCUGGGAAUGGCGAUGGAUACUGGCUAGCUAGAGUGUGAUAGAGGAUGGCGGAAUUCCCGGUGUAGCGGUGAAAUGCGUAGAGAUCGGGAGGAACAUCCGUGGCGAAGGCGGCCAUCUGGAUCAACACUGACGCUGAGGCACGAAAGCGUGGGGAGCAAACAGGAUU
rnacentral:rRNA from 1 species